UCCGGUUUGUCACCGGCAGUCUCGCAUGAGUCCCCAACUGAAUGCUGGCAACAUGCGACGGGGGUUGCGCUCGUUGCGGGACUUAACCCAACAUCUCACGACACGAGCUGACGACAGCCAUGCAGCACCUGUACGAGUGUCCCGAAGGAGGGCCCCUGUUUCCAGGGGCUUUCACUCGUAUGUCAAGCCCAGGUAAGGUUCUUCGCGUUGCUUCGAAUUAAACCACAUGCUCCGCUGCUUGUGCGGGCCCCCGUCAGUUCCUUUGAGUUUCAGCCUUGCGGCCGUACUCCCCAGGCGGGGCACUUAAUGCGUCAGCGCCGGCACCCAGGGGGUCGCUCCCCCAGGCACCUAGUGCCCAUCGUUUACGGCGUGGACUAC
rnacentral:misc_RNA from 1 species